CGAUCACUCUGGAGGUUUAAAUAAGCUCUGUUUCUGAUCACUCCGUUGGUUUAAAUAAGCUCUGUUUCCGAUCACUCUGGAGGUUCAAAUAAGCUCUGUUUCUGAUCACUCCGUUGGUUUAAAUAAGCUGUUUCUGAUCACUCUGGAGGUUUAAAUAAGCUGUUUCUGAUCACUCUGGAGGUUUAAAUAAGCUGUUUCUGAUCACUCCGGAGGUUUAAAUAAGCUCUGUUUCUGAUCACUCCGGAGGUUUGAAUAAGCUGUUUCUGAUCACUCCAGAGGUUUAAAUAAGCUGUUUCUGAUCACUCUGGAGGUUUAAAUAAGCUGUUUCUGAUCACUCCGGAGGUUUAAAUAAGCUCUGUUUCUGUUAGGGAAAAUGAGUGCUCAGUUUAUGGAGGUCAUAGCUAUGUCCCCUACCAUGAAUGCAGAGACAGUUGAUAACUUUACCUUGAAAAUAUUGAAUGUCAUGGCCGUAGUUGCACUGGCAAAAGUCAAGAAAACUUUGCGCAAACAGAAAGCACUAUGGAGAAACAAGCACUGAAAGGAGAAUGCAGGAAGCUGAACGCAAAUAGAGAAUAACUAAACAUCAAAUCCACUAUGGCCUCUUUAA
ensembl:lncRNA